rnacentral:ribozyme from 1 species
UGCCCAGCAACUCUUAUCCCUACUUCCUCGUGGUACCAGCCGGAAACUACGAGAAACCUAAGGGAAGAUCGGGUAACCACAAGUGUGGCGGGGGCGCAGAGGGGGGGAG